rnacentral:rRNA from 1 species
GUCGAGGGGUAAGUGUCUCUUCGGAGAAUCACGACCGGCGCACGGGUGAGUAACGCGUAUGCAACCUACCUAUAACACAAUGAUAGCUCCCGGAAACGGGAAUUAAUACUUGAUGACAUUCAAAGAUGGCAUCAUCAAUGAAUCAAAGUUCCGGCGGUUAUAGAUGGGCAUGCGUGACAUUAGCUAGUUGGUGAGGUAGAGGCUCACCAAUGCGACGAUGUCUAGGGGGUCUGAGAGGAUGAUCCCCCACACUGGUACUGAGACACGGACCAGACUCCUACGGGAGGCAGCAGUGAGGAAUAUUGCGCAAUGGAGGAAACUCUGACGCAGCCAUCCCGCGUGCAGGAUUGACGGCCCUAUGGGUUGUAAACUGCUUUUCUAUACCAAGAAACACCGAUACGUGUAUCGGUUUGCCGGUAGUAUAGGAAUAAGCAUCGGCUAACUCCGUGCCAGCAGACGCGGUAAUGCGGAGGAUGCCAGCGUUAUCCGGAAUCACUGGGUUUACAGGGUGCGCACGCGGAAUAGUAAGUCAGAGGUGAAAGCC